CUGGCUGCUCCAUGCAGACUGGAAGCUCUGGCUGCUCCAUGCAGACUGGCAGCUCUGGCUUCUCCAUGCAGACUAGCAGCUCUGGCUGCGCUGAACAGGCAGGAGACUCCGGCAGCGCUGGAGAGAAGGAAGGCUCUGGCAGCGCUAAACAGGCGGGAGACUCCGGCAGCACUGGAGAGGAGGAAGGCUCUGAUAGCGCUAGACAGGCGGGAGACUCUGACAGCGCUAAACAGGCGGGAGACUCCGACAGCGCUGGAGAGGAGAAAGGCUCUGGCAGCGCUGAACAGGCGAGGCGCACUGAAGGCCUGGUGCGUGGUGCUGGCACUGGGGUUACUGGGCCGAGGACAUGCACAGGAAGCCUGGUGCGAGGAGCUGCCACCGGAGGACUGGUGUGUGAAGGUGGCACAGGAUGGACCAGACCAUGAAGGUGUACUGGAGAGCCUGAGAGCAGGACUGGCACAGGACGUGCAAGGCUAGGUAGGUACACAGGAGGCCUAGUGCGUGAGGCUGGCACACUCUUCACCAGCCGACUAACACACACACCUCAGGACGAGUAUGGAGCGCUGACCCAGGUGCCAUCAAAUCCCCGACACGCUCCGUCGAGCGAAUAUCAUAUCUAAAGCACCAACCUAGCAACUCCCUCAUAACUCUCUCCUCCACUUUCCCCAUUAACUCCUUCACAGUCUCUGCUUCACUCACCUCCAACACGGCUCUGGUUCUGGUCUCCUCCUUGGCUCCUCACGAUAAACAGGGGGAGUUGGCUCAGGUUUGAACCCUGACACUGCCGCACUCUCCCUGAGCCCCCCCAAUACAUUUUUGGGGCUGACUCUCGGGCUUCCUUCUGCGCCGCCGUGCUUGUCUCUUCGACUCCAUUCUCCUAUAGCCCUCUUCGCACUGCUCCAGCGAAUCCCAGGCGGGCUCCGGCACUCUCUCUGGGUCGACCGCCCACCUGUCUAUUUCCUCCCAAGUCGUAUAUUCCAACCUUGGUUUCUCCUGCUGCCGCUGCCUGUCACCACGCUGCUUGGUCCUGGUGUGGUGGGUGAUUCUGUUACGGUUUUCUUCCGUCGAAAGAGAGUUCGGACCAAAAUGCAGCGUGGUUAAUAUGAUACAUCUUUAAUACGAUGAAAACGACCAAUACAAAAACAACAAACGGAACGUGAAAACCUAUACAGCCUAUCUGGUGACAACUAACACAAAGACAGGAACAAUCACCCACGAAACACUCAAAGAAUAUGGCUGCCUAAAUAUGGUUCCCAAUCAGAGACAACGAGAAUCACCUGCCUCUGAUUGAGAACCGCCUCAGGCAACCAUAGACUUUGCUUGAACACCCCACUAAGCCACAAUCCCAAAACCUACGAAAAACCCCCAUACAUAAACACAACACAAAAUAAACCCAUGUCACACCCUGGCCUGACCAAAUAAAUAUAGAAAACACAAAAUACUAAGACCAGGGCGUGACACAACCUGCCUAAAUGACUACAGACCUGUAGCACUCGUGUCCGUAGCAGUGCUUUGAAAUGCUGGGAAUGGCUCACAUCAACACCACUAUCCCAGAAACCCUAGAUCCACUCCAAUUUGCAUACCGCCCAAACAGAUCCACAGAUGAUGCAAUCUCUAUUGCACUCCACACUGCUCUUUCUCACCUGGACAAAAGGAACACCUACGUGAGAAUGAUAUUCAUUGACUACAGCUCAGCGUUCAACACCAUAGUACCUUCAAAGCUCAUCACUAAGCUAACGAUCCUGGGCCUAAACACAUCCCUCUGCAACUGGAUCUUGGACUUCCUGACAGGCCACCCCCAGGUGGUGAGGGUAAGGUAGCAACACAUCUGCCACGCUGAUCCUCAACACUGGAGCCCCUCAGGGGUGCGUGCUCAGUCCCCUCCUGUACUUCCUGUUCACCCACGACUGCGUGGCCAGGCAACACCAUCAUGAAAUUUGCAGGCGACACAACAGUGGUAGGCCUGAUCACCGACAAUGACGAGACAGCCUAUCGGGAGGAGACCUGGCCGGGUGGUGCCAGAAUAACAACCUAUCCCUCAGCGUAACCAAGACUAAAGAGAUGAUUGUGGACUACAGGAAAAGAAGGACCGAGCACGCCCCCAUUCUCAUCAACGGAGCUGUAGUGGAGCAGGUUGAGAGCUUCAUGUUUCUCGGCAUCCACAUCACCAACAAACUAACAUGGUCCAAACACACCAAGACAGUCAUGAAGAGGGCACGACAAAGCCUAUUCCCCCUUCAGGAAACUAAAAAGAUUUGGCAUGGGUCCUCAGAUCCUCAAAAGGAUCUACAGCUGCAACAUUGCAUCACUACCUGGUACGGCAACUGCUUGGCCUCCGACUGCAAGGCACUAGGCACACCAGUACAUCACUGGGGCAAAGCUGCCUGCCGUCCAGGACCUCUACACCAGGCGAUGUCAGAGGAAGGCCCCAAAAUAUUGUCAAAGACACCAGCCACCCUAGUGAUAGACUGUUCUUUCUACUUCUGCAUGGCAAGCGGUACCGGAGUGCCAAGUCUUGGACCAAAAAGGCUUCUCAACAUGUUUUACCCCCAUGCCAUAAGACUCCUGAACAGGUAAUCAUGUCUACCUGGACUAUUUGCAUUGUGUGCCCCCCCCCAACCCCUCUUUUAUGCUGCUGCUACUCUCUAUUUAUCAUAUAUAUGCAUAGUUAUGGUAUAGAGGAGGCUGGGUAGUUAUGGUAUAGAGGAGGCUGGGUGGUUAUAGUAUAGAGGAGGCGGGGUAGUUAUGGUAUAGAAGAGGCUGGGUGGUUAUAGUAUAGAGGAGGCUGGGUAGUUAUAGUAUAGAGGAGGCUGGGUAGUUAUAGAGGAUGCUGGGUAUUUAUAGUAUAGUGGAGGCUGGGUAGUUAUAGUAUAGAGGAGGCUGGGUAGUUAUAGUGUAGAGGAGGCUGGGUAGUUAUGGUGUAGAGGAGGCUGGGUAGUUAUAGUGUAGAGGAGGCUGGGUAGUUAUGGUGUAGAGGAGGCUGGGUAGUUAUGGUAUAGAGGAGGCUGGGUGGUUAUAGAAUAGAGGAGGCUGGGUAGUUAUAGUAUAGAAGAGGCUGGGUGGUUAUAGUAUAGAGGAGGCUGGGUAGUUAUAGUAUAGAGGAGGCUUGGUAGUUAUAGUAUAGAGGAGGCUGGGUAGUUAUAGUAUAGAGGAGGCUGGGUAGUUAUAGUAUAGAGGAGGCUGGGUAGUUAUAGUAUAGAGGAGGCUGGGUAGUUAUAGUAUAGAGGAGGCUGGGUAGUUAUGGUAUAGAGGAGGCUGGGUAGUUAUGGUAUAGAGGAGGCUGAGUGGUUGUAGUGUAGAGUACUCACAACAACCCAACCCUCUCAGUCAGCUCAUCUCCUGGUGUUACUACUGACACACUUACGCCUGGUUGUGUGCUCAUAACCUAGACAGGACCAACAGCUAUUGAAUAUUACAUUUAUUAGGUGUGUUGUUAUUGUUAUAUCACAUUUAUAGGUUGAUUAAAGAAGCUACCAUUAUCAGAUGUGGGCUUGUCAUUAUUUAUUGUUAUUGUUUACUAACACCUUUACAUUUUAUAGUAAUAUACAUUUUGAAAUUGGUAUUUAGAGCAUAGCUACAGUUAAUUGAUUUAAUUCGGUUAACUGGUGGUAAUUCAAGUUUUUGCAAAAUACAUUGUUCUAUAUUGUAGAUGAUUGCAGUGAUAUGUUAAUUACACAGUAUUGACAUCUUGGUAAAAUAUUCAUUCAUACAUUCCCUGCUUAUUGACCACUCUGAAUUUAUGUUUGGAAUGCGUCACCAUCCUUUGAUUUGAAAUAAAGUUGAAAUAUUUGUAUUGGUCCUUCCUUAAAAUAUAUAUAAUGGUAAAUUUAAUUAU
ensembl:lncRNA